rnacentral:rRNA from 1 species
GAUGAACGCUGGCGGCGUGCCUAAUACAUGCAAGUCGAGCGGACAGACGAGGAGCUUUCUCCUCUGCCGUUAGCGGCGGACGGGUGAGUAACACGUGGAUAACCUACCUAUAAGACUGGGGUAACUACGGGGGACCGGAUCUAAUACCGGAUCAUAUAUUGAACCGGAUGGAUCAAUAGUGAAAGACGGUUUUGCUGACACUUAUAGAUGGAUCCGCGCCGCAUUAGCUAGUUGGUAAGGUAACGGCUUACCAAGGCGACGAUGCGUAGCUGACCUGAGAGGGUGAUCGGCCACACUGGAACUGAGACACGGUCCAGACUCCUACGGGAGGCAGCAGUGGGGAAUCUUCCGCAAUGGGCGAAAGCCUGACGGAGCAACGCCGCGUGAGUGAUGAAGGUCUUCGGAUCGUAAAGCUCUUUUAUUAGGGAAGAACAAAUGUGUAAGUAUACAUGGCCGUUUUGACGGUACCUAAUGAGAAAGCACCGGCUAACUACGUG